rnacentral:misc_RNA from 1 species
GAAAUGCGAUAAGUAAUGUGAAUUGCAGAAUUCAGUGAAUCAUCGAAUCUUUGAACGCACAUUGCGCCCCCUGGUAUUCCGGGGGGCAUGCCUGUUCGAGCCUCAAUGAAACCUCUCCCUCAGUUCAGGUCUUCCUGCACGUGAGGGGUAUUGCUGGAUGCCCACGCCGUGAAAAGUGCCGGCACCGCCCAAAUUCACAGUCCGCGUGCCUGGGGGUAGCGACCAACGUAGUGAGAUUCAAUCUCGUUGGCGACGUGACCCCACAGAGGCGACGGGACCUUAAGCGCCAAGGCGCCAAGUCAAAACGGUUGAGCUCGGAUCAGGUAGGGAUACCCGCUGAACUUAA